CAAGAAGAGUGAAAUAGUUCCUGAAACCAUGCGCCUACAAGCGGUCGGAGCUGCUCAUGCAGUGACGGCGUGCCUUUUGCAUAAUGAACCUACGAGUUACCUUCACCAGCAAGGUUAAGGGCCACAAGGCCCGCAGCCGCAGUGAAAGCGAGCCUGAACAGGGCGUUUGUCCCCUUAGGGACAAAGCGCACGCAAGUGCGUUUGAGUUGGUGGUGGUAGACGCGAAACCAAGUGAUCUACACAUGUCCAGGAUGAAGUCCCGGUAACACGGGAUGGAGGUCCGAACGGAUAAGCGUUGAAAAGCUUCCCGAUGAGGUGUGUGUAGGAGUGAAAGGCCAAUCAAACUUGGAGAUAGCUCGUACUCCCCGAAAGGCAUUUAGGUGCCGCGUGCAGUGUUCUCCCCAAGAGGUAGAGCGACCGAUAGGACGCGAGGGCUUCACCGCCUAUCAAGUCCUGACGAACUCCGAAUGCUCAGGGGACUGUAGCUGCGCAGUAAGGGGACGGGUGCUAAGGUCCGUUCCCGAGAGGAGAAGAAUCCAGACCGCCGUCUAAGGUCCCGGAGUUCUGCCUGAGUUAGUCUAACGAAGUCUGGUCCCCGCGACAGCCAGGAUGUUGGCUUGGAAGCAGCCAUUCAUUUAAAGAGUGCGUAACAGCUCACUGGUCGAGGGUCCGGGCGUGGAUAAUAAUCGGGUAUAAGGCAGACACCGAAGACGCGGGAUAGCAUUGAAAAAAGUAUCGGUAGGGGAGCAUUCCAUGCGCGUUGAAUGCGAUAAGACAAUUAUCGCUGGAGCCUAUGGAAAAGCAAAUGUAGGUAUAAGUAACGAUAAGGAGGGUAAGAUUCCCUCCCGCCGUAAGACUAAGGUUUCCCGGGCAAUGCCAAUCAUCCCGGGGUCAGUCGGGUCCUAAGGCUCAGCCGAACGGCGAGGCCGAUGGCAGAAAGGGUCAACAUUCCCUUACUGCCGCACGGAGCGACGCGGAGACGGAGGCGUGACACCACCGCGGAGAUACGGAAUUCUCCGUUGAAGAGCGUAGACGUUGAGGGCGGCAGGCAAAUCCACCGCCCGAGUCGAACCUCGAAAGUAUGCCUUUCCCUUCGGGGCGAGGCAAUAGCGUGGGUAAUCAUACUCCCGAGAAAAUCCGCUAAGCUCAAUCCGUGCGGCACCCGUACCGCAAACGGACACACGUAGUCGGGUAGAACAUACUGAGGCGUUGAGAGAUUCAUGGUUAAGGAACUAGGCAAACUGACCCCGUAACUUCGGGAUAAGGGGUCCUCAUAGCAAUAUGAGGCGCAGAGAAUAGGUCCAGGCAACUGUUUAACAAAAACACAGGGCUGUGCAAACUCGAAAGAUGACGUAUACAGCCUGACACCUGCCCGGUGCCGGAAGGUUAAGAGGAGAGCUCAGAGGCAACUCGAAGGUUUGAAUUGAAGCCCCGGUAAACGGCGGCCGUAACUAUAACGGUCCUAAGGUAGCGAAAUUCCUUGUCGGGUAAGUUCCGACCUGCACGAAUGGUGUAAUGAUCCGGACACUGUCUCAACCAUGAUUCCGGUGAAAUUGUAGUAUCGGUGAAGAUGCCGAUUACCCGCGAUGGGACGAAAAGA
rnacentral:rRNA from 1 species